AUGAGAGUUACACCGGACAAGGCUGGGCCGUGCUCACAUAUGUAUGGACUGAAUAAAUGUGGCUGCUGGGAGCCUUCUCUGCACCCCUGCCGGUGGAGAAGCAGGUGUCCUCAAGGAAAGGUCAUUUCUAUGACUUCAACCCUCUUAGAGACUCGGACCGAAGCAGAAACAAGAGGCAGUGAGAGCGUUCUCCAAGUAACCAUGCCAAGUUGGACGCGGGGGCCAGAGAAAGGCAAAGUCACUGCCAACAUAAUCAGAAAGAAGUGUCCCUGGCUAGAGACUGGUACAGUGCAUGAGAAGAAAAAAGAUUUCUCUGCAUCUGGAGCAUUUCGGAGCUUCUUUCUCUGCUACUUUUUGACCGUAAAAACCUUCCGUGCCCUUCCGGCCUCUAUGAGAAUGGCAAGAGUUCCCGAGGUUUGCUUUAACCAAUACAUAUCAUCCAACUACCCACAAAUAGUGAUGAAAGGAUGUUAGAAAUGGUUUUGCAGGUGCCAACUGAUUGGAAUUGUAUAGCCAUCAGGGAAUACAAUGGCCCUUCUGUUUUGGAAUAAAUAUUUAAACCUAUAAAUAUCUGUAGGCA
rnacentral:lncRNA from 1 species